rnacentral:rRNA from 1 species
UUUAAGAAGGAAGCUUGCUUUCAUUUUAAACUUAGUGGCGGACGGGUGAGUAACGCGUGAGGAACCUGCCCUUCAGUGGGGAACAACAACUAGAAAUGGUUGCUAAUACCGCAUAAUGUCGGAGUACCGCAUGACAUUCCGACCAAAGGAUUUAUUCGCUGAAGGAUGGCCUCGCGUCCGAUUAGAUAGUUGGUGAGGUAACGGCCCACCAAGUCUACGAUCGGUAGCCGAACUGAGAGGUUGAUCGGCCACAUUGGGACUGAGACACGGCCCAGACUCCUACGGGAGGCAGCAGUGGGGAAUAUUGGGCAAUGGGCGAAAGCCUGACCCAGCAACGCCGCGUGAAGGAUGACGGUCUUCGGAUUGUAAACUUCUUUAAUUGGGGAAGAACAAAAUGACCUACCCAAAGAAUAAGUCACGGCUAACUACGUGCCAGCAGCCGCGGUAAUACGUAGGUGACAAGCGUUAUCCGGAUUUACUGGGCGUAAAGGGCGUGUAGGCGGUCUUGCAAGUCAGAAGUGAAAUUCCUGAGCUCAACUCGGGCGCUGCUUCUGAAACUGCAGGACUUGAGUGCUGGAGGGGAUAGCGGAAUUCCUAGUGGAGCGGUAAAAUGCGCAGAUAUUAGGAAGAACACCGGUGGCGAA